rnacentral:rRNA from 1 species
CAGUAGCCGCGGUAAUACAUAGGGUGCGAGCGUUAAUCGGAUUUACUGGGCGUAAAGCGUGCGUAGGCGGCUUCUUAAGUCGGAUGUGAAAUCCCUGAGCUUAACUUAGGAAUUGCAUUCGAUACUGGGAAGCUAGAGUAUGGGAGAGGAUGGUAGAAUUCCAGGUGUAGCGGUGAAAUGCGUAGAGAUCUGGAGGAAUACCGAUGGCGAAGGCAGCCAUCUGGCCUAAUACUGACGCUGAGGUACGAAAGCAUGGGGAGCAAACAGGAUUAGAUACCCCAGUAGUCCCUGUCUCUUAUAC